rnacentral:rRNA from 1 species
GACGAACCGCGCGAACGUUGUUCGGAAUCACUGGGCUUAAAGGGCGCGUAGGCGGACAAUCAAGUCAGGGGUGAAAUCCCACGGCUCAACCGUGGAAGUGCCUUUGAUACUGUCUGUCUCGAGGGAGGUAGGGGCGUGCGGAACUUCCGGUGGAGCGGUGAAAUGCGUAGAUAUCGGAAGGAACGCCGGUGGCGAAAGCGGCGCGCUGGACCUCUUCUGACGCUGAGGCGCGAAAGCUAGGGGAGCAAACGGG